UAAGCGGAGGAAAAGAAAAUAACAAUGAUUCCCCUAGUAACUGCGAGUGAAGAGGGACAAGCUCAAAUUUUAAAUCUGUUGGGUAUCACCUAACCGAGUUGUAAUUUGAAGAGGCGUUUUCUGCGUUUUUUGAUCAGUCCAAGUCCUUUGGGAUAGGGCAUCAUGGAGGGUGAUAAUCCCGUUCGGCUGAUCAAUGCGUUUUACGAUACACCUUCUAAGAGUCAAGUUGUUUGGGAUUGCAGCUUAAAAUGGGAGGUAAAUUUCUCCUAAGGCUAAAUAUUGGCGAGAGACCGAUAGCGAACAAGUACCGUGAGGGAAAGAUGAAAAGAACUUUGAAAAGAGAGUUAAACAGUACGUGAAAUUGUUGAAAGGGAAACGAUUGAAGUCAGUCAUGCUAAUAGGGAAUCAACUUGAUGGUGUGUUAAUUCAUUAGUACGCUUUCUUGUGUACUUCCUUAUUUGGCAGGUUAGCAUCAAUUUUGGUCAUCAUAAAAAAUUUGAAGGGAAUGUGGCUUCCUUCGGGAAGUGUUUAUAGACCUUAAUAUAUGUGGUNACCGGGAUUGAGGAUUGCAGCGAAUGCUUUUGGCUAGUCACCUUCCUUCUGACGGUCACCCCGCUUCUGAUAGCAUGCUAACUUUGGUGGGACACGGAAGUCUUAGAGGGCGGAGUGAUCUUAAAUUUCGCUAAGGAUGCUGACGUAAUGGCUUUAAACGACCCGUCUUGAAACACGGACCAAGGAGUCUAACAUGUAUGCGAGUGUU
rnacentral:rRNA from 1 species